UACGUAGGGUGCGAGCGUUGUCCGGAAUUACUGGGCGUAAAGAGCUCGUAGGUGGUUUGUCGCGUUGUCCGUGAAAACUCACAACUCAAUUGUGGGCGUGCGGGCGAUACGGGCAGACUGGAGUACUGCAGGGGAGACUGGAAUUCCUGGUGUAGCGGUGGAAUGCGCAGAGUACUCAGGAGGAACACCGGUGGCGAAGGCGGUUCUCUGGGCCUGUACUGACGCUGAGGAACGAAAGCGUGGGGAGCGAACAGG
rnacentral:rRNA from 1 species